CCCGACCGCCCGCCCCGACGCCGGCGUUACUCCAGAAUACUGGCGUUCUCCCUGGCGGUCCCACUGAACCAGGUUGAGAAGUGGAACAAGCAGAGGAAGAAUGUGACAUUGGCAGGGUCCCUCGAAAUCGUCUGUUUGAGAGUCUCGGUUGCUUUUGUGUCUGCGCUACUGCUGUCUUAUGGUUGGAAUUUAUGCUCCUGUCAUGUACUCUCUUCCAACAAUAUGUUUUGUACGGAGGGGGAUUUGAGGGAUGUGUGGCUGGAGGGGGAUUUGAGGUUUCAAGGGGAUUGGGUGAAAGAGGGGGAUUCACCAAAUCCCCUGGAAUCCUCUCCUCCCAAAACCUCCACAAUCCCUUGCUGUCAAACAAGGCCUAAGGAAAACUGGAGGAUACACCCGGAUUGGGUUCAGAGGUUUAAAUGGGCUAGGCUUUUACCUUUUGCGCGUCUGGUUGGGGCCACUGAUACCUCUACAUGCCUUGGCAUUGACGCCUCUUUGCUCACCUGCUUAGUGGACUGAUGGAGGCCCGAGAUCCACACGUUUCACUUCCGUUGGGGAGAGAUGGCUCAUAAUUUGUAGGAUGUGUCACUUUUGUUGGGACCACUAUUCAAAAUAUCGGUCGAUUAUCGCUUAUCGGGGUCUGAUUGAUAAGAUAAGUGAAUAUCACUGGUAUUUAUCGGUCUAACCAAUAUAUCGAUCAUACAAUCGAUAUAUCACCGAUAUUCUCCGACAUUUGCCAAUAUUGACAAGUAAAUCUAUGGGACCCAACUGAUUUAGCUCCCGAUUUUUUUAUUUUGGUUGAGUUUUUGUGGUCUUGAUGCCUCCUAUUUGUGUAGAUGGCUACUUUCAAUACAUCCCAGGUCGUUUAAGAGGAAUACGGAUGACAUGGCUUACAAGUUUGCCAUGUUGAUUGAUCCAGAUGAUACAGAAAGCUGAGAUUUUUAAAAAACCUUGCCAAUAAAUAGUCUACCGAUAAAAUUGAUAAAUUGGCCGAUAAGUCGAUUUAUCUCUUAUCUUGGGUUGAUCGAUAAGUUGAAGCGGUAUCCUGAACAUUGGGUUGGACUACCGUUGGCGGUUCCUGCCAUUGGACCAUUCGAGGCACCAGCUCCUUGGGAGCAGGAAAUUGCACAACAUUUCCAGGGUGUUUAUGAGGGUGCUCCGACCUUUGCCUCGGAGCCUCACGGACCGCUUGAUUGGUUGCUUCAUUUUCGGAUACAGAAGUUUCCGGCUAUCCACAAUUCCCCUUGAAUGCGACAUAGAUCACUCGGAGCCUGGAGGCAUACCUACCGUGGCUUCUCGGGAAGGUGAUGUUUACAGAGAACCAUGUCACUAGUAUUAGUGCAUGCUACAUCCCUAUUGCACCGGAGAUCGCGAGAGCUGAGUUGCUGGACCAGAUCACACAGAGGAGUUGGGGUUUUGUGGUUUUAGUGGUUACAUACCGAGGUAUGUGCAACGGUUGCCAACUUGUGUUGCAGAAGGCAGCUCUUCUUGGAUGCCCUCUAUUUUUACAGUUGUGGUCGUGGGGAGAGGUUCUCUAUAGGACAACCCAACAUACAUGUUGAAGAGGGUUGGCCUGUGGGGGAGCUUUUCGAUGCUGACCACAAUGACAUGCCUACUUUCGGUAUGUGCUGGACAUGUUGCAAGGUAUGUCUGAUCUUAUAAUUUUUUGCAUUUCCCCAUGUACACUAUGGUUGAAACUAACUUUUGUUUUGCGAAGAGAUGCUUUGCUAGUGAUCAGACUAGGUGAGCCUACAUGGCACUAAACAAGCAGUUCGAUUUAUACACUAGGGUGAUCUGGCAGCCGUACACGCAAGCAGCCAUAGAUGCAAGAUACCCCAACGGUAUUUCUGAGCUAUGCACAAGGGAUCAGGAUUACUGGAUGGCAAAAUCGAAGAUCAUCUUCGAUGUCUUCGUCGAGGGCAUGGCCCAACAGAGGGUUAUGAGGCAAUUUGGUCUUCGACAGUUGGUCUAGCCUUCGCCUACAGAGGCUCCGCUGCCACCAGUAGUCCACAUGUAUUGUCUACUUAUUCUAUGUUGGAUUUUCUUUCACAAUUGACCAUAGUGAAGCAUUACUUAAUUGUUGAACACACACCACAAUUUUAGGAUCACAAGGAAGGGGGUCAGCAGGACACAGACUCAGUGGCUGGAGAAGUGAUACGUCUCCGUCGUAUCUAUAAUUUUUUAUUGUUCCAUGCCAAUAUUAUACAACUUUCACAUACUUUUGGCAACAAUUAUAUGAUUUAUCGGACUAACAUAUU